rnacentral:lncRNA from 1 species
GAUGGCGAUGAGCAUCUAAUGCAUAUCUCAGCGCGAGCACGACGUGCGCCGAGCAAUGUGGGGCCGGUCGGAUCGAUCGAACGAGCUGAUUGCACCGAUAAACGCGCCGAUCGCGCCUAACAGUGGCGGAAGCUGGGCUAAACGGCCUCUUUUCACUGCGAGCGCGGGGUCAAUGGGGCUUCGCCUAAUUGACACGCCGACGGCGUCUGAAAGAGCUUCGCGUGCGUAUGCAGAUCGCCUCGUAACUCAUCCCGAGUCAAAAGUUAUCGAUGCUUUAAGCCGC